UACGUAGGGGGCAAGCGUUGUCCGGAAUCAUUGGGCGUAAAGCGCGUGUAGGCGGCCCGAUAAGUCCGCUGUGAAAGUCCAGGGCUCAACCCUGGGAUGCCGGUGGAUACUGUCGGGCUCGAGUCCGGAAGAGGAGUGUGGAAUUCCUGGUGUAGCGGUGAAAUGCGCAGAUAUCAGGAGGAACACCGGUGGCGAAGGCGGGUCUCUGGGCCGAUACUGACGCUGAGGAGCGAAAGCGUGGGGAGCGAACAGG
rnacentral:rRNA from 1 species